rnacentral:lncRNA from 1 species
GCAUCCUCACACACAGCUCCUAAACCGGGCUUAGGCAGGAGUUUAGACAGAGAUCAGCGGCAUUUAGUGCCUCCAAACCGCUACACAGCUGCCACUUCGCACCGAAGCCACUUUUGUUUCCCGGCGUUAAACAUCUCGGGGCCCCCAGAACUCGGCCUGAGCAGGAAUGGACGAGCACGUCCCCGCGAAAGCCUUGACCUGACCCGCAGGAGCGGCUGCAGGAAGCGCGGCUGCAGGAAGCACGGCUGAGAGCCCAGCCCGGCCCCUCAGUGCCGCCCGGCCCUGGGGCAGCCCCGGCGCUCUCUGCCUCAGCGCGGCUCCGCCGUCCACCCGCGCGGGGUCACGCGCGCUGUUCUCGCCAAUAGGCAGCGGCGGCUGGAGCGCGUGGGUCUCGCGGGAGCGCGGGGCGGUAUUUAAUGGCCGGCGAGGCGCCGCUCUGCCUUUCUGUUCGCCGGCCGAGGGCGCGUGUGUCCGAGGUGCCGCCGAUGGGCGGGAGGCCGAGCGCGGCAGGCCGGGGCAGGCGGGAGCGCUGGCGAUCCAUGGGUGAGGGGCACACCGACAUCAUCACCCCUCCUACAGCCUGGGGCUGAGGCCUCACAUAGCAACCUCAUGCUUGCAAUGUUUUAGACAUGGAUAAUCACACCUAAAUGUGAAGCAGUACUUGGGACUUCUUAGGACUAAAUAAUGCCUUCUAAUGGAAGGUAAGUGUGCUGUCGUCUAAUGACAAUUGUCAAUCAUUUUUAAUAUUGCUCUUUAAUAAUUUACAAAUUUCAAGCAAAUUGUAGUAUCUCUUGUUGAUAAGAAAACAAUAUACUAAAAUCUACUCCCCUUUUAUGCUUUGCCCUCUUAAGUCUGGCAGUGUCUUAAGUGGCCAAUACUGAGGGGAAUAAAAGUUCUCUCGCAAACCCA